rnacentral:lncRNA from 1 species
AGGAAAGAGGACAUGACGUCAUUUCUGUCAGUUCAGGUUCAUGAAAACCCCGGAUGAGAUCAUGAGUGGCCGGACAGACCGUCUAGAACACCUCGAGUCUCAGGAGCUGGAUGAACAAGCGUACCAAGAGGAUGAAUGUUAAGGGAACCUACCACAGCCUCAGCGGUGGGCUGGCCAAGACGAGACCUGCCCACAGGGACCGCAGGAGGCAUGAUGGAGCAGGCAAGCUAGGGAUGGCUUGAAAGGAAGAGACCCAGGAAUAGCAGGAACACUUCUCCUGCAGAUCAAGAGGGACCCAGAGCACCUUAGACAAGCCACCCAGCAAUGGCAGGGCUGGAAUUCUGGCGGAGGGCACAAGCCUGAGACACACGUCAUGUUUGCUCCUCCUUCGACUCUCUUGUCUGUAAAGCCUCACCCUCACCCUGCACCUGUUGUUAGUCUCAUGGUGUUUCUGGUUUUGUUUUCGUUUCUUUUUUUUUUUAAGAACAUGCAGUUUGACUAUUCAUUGUUCAUACAGGGAAGACAUCACAUGUUGCUUUCCUAUGGAAAUAUAUCUAUUAUAUAUAUUAUUAAUUUUUUUUUCGUUGUUGCAAAUCUCACCAAGUACGACCAGCUCUGCUGGUCAGGAAAAAGAAAACUUGCAGAAGAGAUCAGGUUCCUCUUUUUCCUGCCGCAUAGAUCUGGUUUGUCCUAUCCAAGUCAGGUCUUUGAUGAGAAAGG